CGGGUGAGUAACACGUGAGUAACCUGCCCCAGGCUUUGGGAUAACCCCGGGAAACCGGGGCUAAUACCGGAUAUGACCAUCUGUCGCAUGGUGGGUGGUGGAAAGAUUUUUUGGCUUGGGAUGGGCUCGCGGCCUAUCAGCUUGUUGGUGGGGUGAUGGCCUACCAAGGCGGCGACGGGUAGCCGGCCUGAGAGGGCGACCGGCCACACUGGGACUGAGCCACGAUCCAAACUUAUACGGGAGGCAGCAGUGGGGAAUCUUGCACAAUGGGCGGAAGCCUGAUGCAGCGACGCCGCGUGAGGGAUGACGGCCUUCGGGUUGUAUACCUCUUUCAGCAGGGACGAAGCGUUUGUGACGGUACCUGCAGAAGAAGCGCCGGCCAACUACGUGCCAGCAGCCGCGGUAAGACGUAGGGCGCAAGCGUUGUCUGGAUUUAUUGGGCGUAAAGAGCUCGUAGGCGGCUUGUCGCGUCGACUGUGAAAACCCGUGGCUCAACUGCGGGCUUGCAGUCGAUACGGGCAGGCUAGAGUUCGGUAGGGGAGACUGGAAUUCCUGGUGUAGCGGUGAAAUGCGCAGAUAUCAGGAGGAACACCGGUGGCGAAGGCGGGUCUCUGGGCCGAUACUGACGCUGAGGAGCGAAAGCGUGGGGAGCGAACAGGAUUAGAUACCCUGGUAGUCCACGCUGUAAACGUUGGGGCGCUAGGUGUGGGGGGCCUCUCCGGUUCUCUGUGCCGCAGCUAACCGCAUUAAGGCGCCCCGGCCUGGGGAGUACGGCAGCAAGAUAAAAACUCAAAGGGAGUUGACGGAGAGCCCGCA
rnacentral:rRNA from 1 species